ensembl:lncRNA
CUGAAUUGAUGCUGAUUCCAUCCUAGUGUUGAGCUGCAGGAUUGAAAGAGACAGUAUACAACAGGAAAUGGUCUGGGAAAGACUUCAACCCGGGCCCCUACACAGAUGGGCUUUAGCCUGCAGUGCACAGACUGCUGACUCAACCAGGAGAAGAUGAUCUGCAGGAUCCUGCUGCUCAUCAUCCUCACCUCAUGUAUCUCUGGAUCAUUUGUAGUCAAUGUGACACAGACCUCCUAUCAGGCAGAGGAGAACCACAACAUCACACUGGAGUGGACGUUCACCACCAAACCUGACAGAUCAACCAAAACUCUUUCCAUCAUUUGUUGCCUUAUAGCUUGCCAUGAACACUUUGUCCUCUAUCGUGUCAUUCAUGGUGUUGAGUUGUCAAAGUCUCGGGAUAAAAAGUUUUCAGGACGAGUCCAGAGUGACAAAGACGCCCUCAGAGAAGGACGAAUCAGACUUCAACUGUCCAGACUCAGGACUGAUGACUCGGGUCUGUACCUGUGUGAGGUCAACACUGAUUAUGGCUUCAGUUCUGCCAGAUGCAGAGUCAGUGUUUCUGGUGCUGAAAGUCGAAAUAAGAACUACUGGGAUCAAGUUAAAAUUGUUCUGGGAGUUUUAGAGAGUGCACUUUUAAUAGUUAGUGGCAUGAUAGUUUUGAUCAUUGUUGCUGUUCAGGGUCUUGUGCAGUCUUUUAGAAAACAUAAGAUAGGAGGUCCUCUUUUAAAAUGAACUACUUCAUCUGCUAUGUUUUAUGUUGCUGCUUUCAAUCUGAAUGUUUUCUGACAAAAAAAAACCAUACAAUUAAAGCCAACUAAAGAUGUUCUCUAUAAGGAAGUAUCGUAGAUUCUCUUCUUCAUGUUAGAUUAAAACCAAAAAUAUCUUUGUUUAAAUACAAGCUUUUGUAUAUUCAAAAAUUCACUGCACUUCUUUCACUAACGUUCAUUAUUGACUCCACGAUUUGUUCCAACUUCCAACUCAGCUUUCAGCAUUAGCUUCUCAGUGAGCACGCACAUUAUUAUUUAACUAAAAUAAAGAUGACUUGUUUACUGUGUCAAUGCCAAAUUCAUUCUCUGCCAAUUUAUUUCCAUGUUCUUCUGCAACUGUCAAAGUUUUCAGUUUAGAGCUCAUAAUGUAGCAGGAGUUUUUAACCACUUAAUUGCUUCAUUCUUCAAAGCUUGGUCUUUCUGCUUAUUUAACAUAUUUAGCCAUGUUAUUUAUAUAAGAGUUUACUUUUCUCUCAGACAGCUGAUGGACCAGAAGCGUUAUGGAAAUAACAAACAAUUUUCUAAAUAAAAAAUAAAAAUAUAUAAAGAAAGAGAAAGGAAAAAUACACAAAAAUAUUAUGCAUCAAUAAAUUUACUUUUUUUUAGGACAUUUCUGGUAUCUAAUGUUUCUAUUUAACACUGACCUAUGGAUCAUUCAAACAUUAAACAGUCACCUAACUCAGGGGAUGAACCACUGCUAUGUCUAUGGAUAACAGACCGCUUACAAAAGAACUAAUUUUAAAUUAUUAAGGCAAUUUAUAUAUGGCAGUCUGUUACAAGACAAAACACACCUGUCCCCAUUAAGUUGAAUCUACAAAAAAAUCCAAAGAUGGCAGAGUUUGACAAACAUAAAAUAGAAUUUUUUUUGCAGGAACAAGGCGAUUCUCAAAGAGCUAUUGGCUGAAACAAAAGAAACAAAAGAAGAGGCAGGCCAAUAGUUCACAGCCAAACCAGACAGAUCCUGGAUCUACAUCUUCAUACUCUGUGGCCUGAAAACUGGUCCUAAAGACUAAGUCUUGUUUCAUGUUUUGAAGAUGUUGAUGUGUCAGAGUCUCAGGAUGAAAACUUUUUCAGGACGAGUCCAGAGUGACAAAGACGCCCUCAGAGAAGGACGAAUCAGACUUCAACUGUCCAGACUCAGGACUGAUGACUCGGGUCUAUAUAUUCAAAGUGAACACAGACCAUGACUGAUUUGAUAGCUGCAGGCUCCAUGUUCCUGGCAAGGUCUUUUCUUUCCUAAUAUGUGUACUAUAUAUAAAUCUAUUGUGUAUUGAAACAAACAUUAUUAGGUGAAAUUCAGAUAUUCUACAGCUUAAUUUUCAGUGUAAACCAAUUCCAUAAACAUUUAUGAUACACAUGUUGAUGUCCUUCACCAAACAGUGGCCUCUGAUCAGCUAGAGGCAGAACCUCAAGGGAGAACCAUUUCUUUAUGUUAGACUGCAGCUAGUAGCAGCCCUUAUGGCUUUCUGUGUUUUUUGUAUUAUAUGGAGAAAACAGUAAAUGAAACACAAACAGUCUGACUUCAUUUUACAAAAUAAGUCAUUAAACCUUUACUUCAGGAGAUUUUGGAACAGGCAUUUUUGUACAUUAGACUGAGAGCUACAGGAGCUCUACCAGCUGUGUUUAACUCCAACUUUAACACAGAUAUAAGUGAAGCUGUAGAGAUGUUUGUUGUGUGCACUUACAUAAUAUGUACAUAAUAUUAAGUAUAAUGUCCUUUGCUACACACAACUCCAUGACAGUUUACAACACGUCAGAUCAUCUUCAUUGUUAACAUAAUUAAUCUGAAUCCUUUCAACAUUACAACAGUAAACACAUUAAACACUGAAUUUAUAUCUGCUGCACGUGGUGCGUGAGGUAGAGGUGUUUCCCUGUGUGAUUACAGUAAAGUGAACACAGUGCACAUUUCAUCAUCUGUCUGAUGAGUGACAAUUUGAUAAUGUGUCUUAAACAAAUAAACAAACAAAAAAACGAAGAUAAAAAAAAUCAAUUUGAUGUCCAUUAUUGUGUAUCAUGACACUUAUUCUCUGGCCAGCAUGUGUCCUAAUGCACUGUCUGUUAAAUAACAAUUAAAAUGCAGUUUUUAUCAGCUUUGAACCCCCAUGAGUACAUCCAUCAGGAUGUUAAACAGAUUUCAUUUAAAUAUUGGAGUUUUUAGCUUAUAUGAGUCUUACCUUUAUGGUGUUCAACUCUGGGAAAAGGGACGUCUCACCAUUGACAGUUUAAUAUC